UACGGAGGGUGCAAGCAUUAAUCGGAUUUAUUGGGCGUAAAGGGCGCGUAGGCGGGGGAACAAGUCAAAUGUGAAAUCCCGGAGCUCAACUCCGGAACUGCAUUUGAAACUAUUCCUCUUGAGGGUAGGCGGAGAAAAUGGAAUUCCACGUGUAGCGGUGAAAUGCGUAGAUAUGUGGAAGAACACCGGUGGCGAAAGCGGUUUUCUAGCUUAUUCCUGACGCUGAGGCGCGAAAGCAAGGGGAUCAAAC
rnacentral:rRNA from 1 species